CAAAGUGAAAAUAGAUAUUCACCUCCUUCCAGUCAGUAUUUAGUCGAUGCACCUUAGGCUGCAGUUACAGCAUUGUGCCUUUGUGG